GAUGAACGCUGUCGGCGUGCCUAUACAUGCAAGUCGAGCGAACGGACGAGAAGCUUGCUUCUCUGAUGUUAGCGGCGGACGGGUGAGUAACACGUGGAUAACCUACCUAUAAGACUGGGAUAACUUCGGGAAACCGGAGCUAAUACCGGAUAAUAUUUUGAACCGCAUGGUUCAAAAGUGAAAGACGGUCUUGCUGUCACUUAUAGAUGGAUCCGCGCUGCAUUAGCUAGUUGGUAAGGUAACGGCUUACCAAGGCAACGAUGCAUAGCCGACCUGAGAGGGUGAUCGGCCACACUGGAACUGAGACACGGUCCAGACUCCUACGGGAGGCAGCAGUAGGGAAUCUUCCGCAAUGGGCGAAAGCCUGACGGAGCAACGCCGCGUGAGUGAUGAAGGUCUUCGGAUCGUAAAACUCUGUUAUUAGGGAAGAACAUAUGUGUAAGUAACUGUGCACAUCUUGACGGUACCUAAUCAGAAAGCCACGGCUAACUACGUG
rnacentral:rRNA from 1 species